ACGGCUCAGUAACACGUAGUCAAUCUACCCUAUGGACGGGAAUAACCUCGGGAAACUGAGAAUAAUGCCCGAUAGAACAUUAUGCCUGGAAUGGUUUAUGUUUCAAAUGAUUUAUCGCCAUAGGAUGGGACUGCGGCCUAUCAGUUUGUUGGUGAGGUAAUGGCCCACCAAGACUAUUACAGGUACGGGCUCUGAGAGGAGUAGCCCGGAGAUGGGUACUGAGACACGGACCCAGGCCCUAUGGGGCGCAGCAGGCGAGAAAACUUUGCAAUGUGCGAAAGCACGACAAGGUUAAUCCGAGUGGUUUCUGCUAAAGAAACCUUUUGUCAGUCCUAGAAACACUAACGAAUAAGGGGUGGGCAAGUUCUGGUGUCAGCCGCCGCGGUAAAACCAGCACCUCAAGUGGUCAGGAUGAUUAUUGGGCCUAAAGCAUCCGUAGCCCGUUUUGUAAGUUUUCGGUUAAAUCCAUACGCUUAACGUAUGGGCUGCCGGGAAUACUGCAUAACUAGGAAGUGGGAGAGGUAGACGGUACUCGGUAGGAAGGGGUAAAAUCCUUUGAUCUAUUGAUGACCACCUGUGGCGAAGGCGGUCUACCAGAACACGUCCGACGGUGAGGGAUGAAAGCUGGGGGAGCAAACCGGAUUAGAUACCCGGGUAGUCCCAGCUGUAAACUAUGCAAACUCAGUGAUGCAUUGGCUUAUGGCCAAUGCAGUGCUGCAGGGAAGCCGUUAAGUUUGCCGCCUGGGAAGUACGUACGCAAGUAUGAAACUUAAAGGAAUUGGCGGGGGAGCAC
rnacentral:rRNA from 1 species